UUUUUCUAACACUAAUUGUUGAAAUCGAUAUUAAUUUAUACCGAUAUCAAUUAUAUAAUUCAAGAUCUAAAAUAGAAUAAAAUAAUAUAAAAAAAUAUUAGAGUAAGAAAAAAAACUAAACUAAUACUUUAUUAAUAAAAGACAAUUAAUUAUAUUCUAGGCAACACCCGUGUAACCAUAUCGACUAUAACUCAUUUCUCUUAUUAACACACACACACACACACACAUAUAUAUCUAU
rnacentral:lncRNA from 1 species